CCUUGAGAUAUGUUAACUUGGAGAACACCUCCAUUCCCCUAUCAUUCUGUUGUAACAAGUCUUCAAAGAGCUGCUUGCUUUCUUCAGCUACGGUAGAUGCCUACUUGACUAGUCCCAGGAAGACAAUAUGACUAUUUCAGCUUCCAAGAGAAGUGAAUGAUGCAGGGAAGAGCCAAUCCAGCCAGGUGGCAGCAAUCUAGCUCUGGGCUUCCUGGGCCUGCAGGGCGACCCUUGUAUGUGUGCUGGGGAGAAAUGGGUCCCUUUUGGGUCUUGUUAGAUGGACUGUUACACAGACUGAGAGGAUGCUGGUCUAUUCUCAAGGAGGCAGGCAGCCAAGCCUGGAGCUACCCACCUCUGAAUUUAUUGAAGACAGGGAAGAAAAGAACCCCAAGAGAGGAAUGUGAAUGCCAUAUUCUAAAAGGAAGUUCUAACCGGCAAUGAGCAUGGAAAACUUACCUGGAAUUACAAUCAAGCUGGGCACAAGAGUACUACUGUCCCCGUCCUAUUCCUCUACCUAGUCCAUGCUACUCAUCAAAGACAAAGAGUCUGGCAGGAAUAAAGAAGCUGCUAAACACAAGUCUUAAAAAAAC
rnacentral:lncRNA from 1 species